rnacentral:tRNA from 1 species
GGGGAUUUAGCUCAGUGGUAGAGCACUUGCCUAGUAAGCGCAAAGGCCCUGGGUUCGGUCCCCAGCUCCG